UCCCUCUUAGCUCAGUGGUAGAGCGCGUCACUAGUAUUAGCUUGGUCGAUAUAUGACGAGGUCAUCUGUUCGAUCCAGGUAGCGGGAA